GAUGAACGCUGGCGGCGUGCCUAAUACAUGCAAGUCGAGCGAACAGACGAGGAGCUUGCUCCUUUGACGUUAGCGGCGGACGGGUGAGUAACACGUAGGUAACCUACCUAUAAGACUGGGAUAACUUCGGGAAACCGGAGCUAAUACCGGAUAAUAUUUCGAACCGCAUGGUUCGAUAGUGAAAGAUGGUUUUGCUGUCACUUAUAGAUGGACCUGCGCCGUAUUAGCUAGUUGGUAAGGUAACGGCUUACCAAGGCAACGAUACGUAGCCGACCUGAGAGGGUGAUCGGCCACACUGGAACUGAGACACGGUCCAGACUCCUACGGGAGGCAGCAGUAGGGAAUCUUCCGCAAUGGGCGAAAGCCUGACGGAGCAACGCCGCGUGAGUGAUGAAGGUCUUCGGAUCGUAAAACUCUGUUAUUAGGGAAGAACAAACGUGUAAGUAACUGUGCACGUCUUGACGGUACCUAAUCAGAAAGCCACGGCUAACUACGUG
rnacentral:rRNA from 1 species